CAGUCGAGGGGUAUAGUUCUUCGGAAUUAGAGACCGGCGCACGGGUGCGUAACGCGUAUGCAAUCUACCUUUUACAGAGGGAUAGCCCAGAGAAAUUUGGAUUAAUACCUCAUAGUAUGCAGAGUUGGCAUCAACACUGCAUUAAAGUCACAACGGUAAAAGAUGAGCAUGCGUCCCAUUAUCUAGUUGGUAAGGUAACGGCUUACCAAGGCGACGAUGGGUAGGGGUCCUGACAGGGAGAUCCCC
rnacentral:rRNA from 1 species